GUGGUGGCCUAGUGGUAAGAGUGUCUGCCUUGGAUGUGGGAGGUCAUGGGUUCAAUCCACGGUUGAGUCA